rnacentral:rRNA from 1 species
GAUGAACGCUGACAGAAUGCUUAACACAUGCAAGUCUACUUGAACUUCGGUUUGGGUGGCGGACGGGUGAGUAACGCGUAAAGAACUUGCCUCACAGCUAGGGACAACAUUUGGAAACGAAUGCUAAUACCUGAUAUUAUGAUUUUAGGGCAUCCUAAGAUUAUGAAAGCUAUAUGCGCUGUGAGAGAGCUUUGCGUCCCAUUAGCUAGUUGGAGAGGUAACGGCUCACCAAGGCGAUGAUGGGUAGCCGGCCUGAGAGGGUGAACGGCCACAAGGGGACUGAGACACGGCCCUUACUCCUACGGGAGGCAGCAGUGGGGAAUAUUGGACAAUGGACCAAAAGUCUGAUCCAGCAAUUCUGUGUGCACGAUGACGUUUUUCGGAAUGUAAAGUGCUUUCAGUUGGGAAGAAAAAAAUGACGGUACCAACAGAAGAAGUGACGGCUAAAUACGUGCCAGCCGCCGCGGUAAGAC